GAAAUUUAUACAAUAAUUUCUAAGACUUUUUACCUAAAUGGUACACUGAGCGUGCAGCAAGAAGUAGCAGUGCUUACACGCGUACUAGCAAGUGCGGGCCAAACGCAAGUUAACCUAGGACAAUUGCUGAACGUGUGCACCACCAAUGCCCUUGGGCGCGUGAUGAUAGGCAGAAGAGUGUUUAACGACGGUAGCAGCGGUGGUGAUCCAAAGGCAGACGAAUUCAAAUCAAUGGUGGUGGAGUUGAUGGUGUUGGCCGGAGUUUUCAAUAUCGGUGACUUCAUUCCUGCUUUGGAAUGGCUAGACUUACAAGGAGUAGCAGCCAAAAUGAAGAAGCUCCAUAAGAGAUUUGAUGAUUUCUUGACUGAGAUUGUGGAGGAGCACAAGAUUAAAUCUGAUGGUUACGAAAAGCACAGAGAUAUGUUGAGUACGUUGAUUUCUUUGAAAGAGGAUGCUGACGGUGAGGGAGAGAAGCUCACCGACACUGAAAUCAAAGCAUUACUUUUGAACAUGUUUACUGCAGGUACCGAUACUUCUUCAAGCACAGUAGAAUGGGCAAUCGCAGAACUCAUACGCCACCCUAAUAUCUUGGCCCAAGUCCAACAAGAGCUUGACUCGGUCGUGGGCCGAGACCGUCUCGUAAAUGAAUUAGACCUAGCCCAACUCACCUAUCUCCAGGCCGUCGUCAAGGAAACCUUCCGCCUCCACCCAUCGACACCGUUAUCUCUUCCACGCAUCGCAGCAGAAGACUGUGAAAUAAAUGGCUACCGCAUAUCCAAGGGCUCAACUCUUCUGGUGAAUGUAUGGGCCAUAGCCCGUGAUCCAGAUGUAUGGGCCGAGCCGCUAAAGUUUAGGCCCGAAAGGUUUUUGGCAGGAGGAGAGAAGGCAAAUGUUGAUGUUAGGGGAAAUGAUUUUGAGCUAAUACCAUUUGGUGCUGGACGCAGAAUAUGUGCAGGAAUGAACUUGGGGUUAAGGAUGGUUCACUUGCUAAUAGCAACUCUAGCCCAUGCAUUUGAAUGGGAAUUGGCAGAUGGGUUGAUCCCUGAGAAAUUGAACAUGGAAGAAGCUUAUGGGCUAACCUUGCAGAGGGCUGUGCCCAUGAUGGUGCACCCAAGGCCUAGGCUAUCCUCCAUUGCUUUUAAUACUGCAUAGGAAUUAGGACACCUCCCACCUCUCUCUUGAUAGAAUCGAGUUCUAUUUGUCCCAUGAAACGCUGAUGUAUAUCAGUAUUUUAGUUCUAAAUUAAUAAAGAAAAGUAAUGGGAGUAUAUGAUGCUACUCGCACACCAUAUGUAAAAAAUUAUGCUUGGGAG
rnacentral:misc_RNA from 1 species